UUUUCUUCUGCUUUUAAGAUUCCCAAUUUGAGAUGAUGUGCUGUUCCUGUUAGAUUUGCUAUUUCUACAGUUGCAGUGAAGUAGAAGAGUCCGGUCGUGUUAUGGGGCAACAGUUCAACAAGAAGGACAAAGAGAUGUGUGCCAUGUUGAAGUAGUGGCUGCCCCUCCUGCCCGGCACUUCUAGAAUCUUCCAUCUCAAACCCUGCUCUGAUCUGCUGUGCCUUUGCCAAAUGAUCACGUGUUUAUUGCAAUGGUGCCCUCUACGUCUCCACCGUCUUUUAAAUCAACCCCAACUUCCUGUGAUAGAAGAAAAGUUCACAAGACGUCCUGAAAUGGAAUUGUGAUUGGAUUGAGACGGCCACAUUUAUGCAUGCUGGGAUGUGCAGAGGGGAGUCUAU